ensembl:misc_RNA 7SK 7SK RNA
GGAUGUGAGGGCAAUCUGGCUGAGACAUUUAUCACCCCACUGAUCGCCAGGGUUGAUUCGACUGAUCUGGCUGGCUAGGCGGGUGUCCCCUUCCUCCCUCACCGCUCCAUGUGCGUCCCUCCCGAAGCUGCGCCGCGCUGGGUCGAAGAGGACGACCUUCCUCAAAUAGAGUUGGACUGGUCUUCGGUCAAGGGUGUACGAGUAGCUGCGCUCCCCUGCCAGAACCUCCAAACAAGCUCUCAAGGAAACAAGAAACUAAAGGCUCUAAACAGGAGCUAGGCAAAAGCCUUCCUGAAUGCUAUUUCAGAAAGCAGCUCUGGAGAUGUU